GAUGAACGCUGGCGGCGUGCCUAAUACAUGCAAGUCGAGCGAACAGAUGAGGAGCUUGCUCCUCUGACGUUAGCGGCGGACGGGUGAGUAACACGUGGAUAACCUACCUAUAAGACUGGGAUAACUUCGGGAAACCGGAGCUAAUACCGGAUAAUAUAUUGAACCGCAUGGUUCAAUAGUGAAAGACGGUUUUGCUGUCACUUAUAGAUGGAUCCCCGCCGCAUUAGCUAGUUGGUAAGGUAACGGCUUACCAAGGCUACGAUGCGUAGCCGACCUGAGAGGGGGAUCGGCCACACUGGAACUGAGACGCGGUCCAGGCUACUGCGGGAGGCAGCAGUAGGGAAUCUUCCGCAAUGGGCGGAAGCCUGACGGAGCAGCGCGGCGUGAGUGAUGAAGGUCUUCGGAUCGUAAAGCUCUGUUAUUAGGGAAGAACAAAUGUGUAAGUAACUAUGCACGGCUUGACGGUACCUAAUCAGAAAGCCACGGCUAACUACGUG
rnacentral:rRNA from 1 species